rnacentral:lncRNA from 1 species
GUACUACAGUCGAAGAAUGUAAUGAGUGGACAGUUGGCAAAAUUGUUGUCUACCAGUUUAAUACAGUAAGAACCAUCCAUAAAAUGCAGCUUAGCAGUAUCAAACAAGUGAAAGUUGGCCGCAGUAUUCCCAUGCUAUGCAUACAAAGUAUUGUACAUUAUAUCAACAUAUACUCGAGAAUAGUUAUCCAGCUAAACAUGUAUGUCAAAAUUAUCACAUCUUCUGGUUUUAAAUCAACAAUUCUGAUGGAUUUUGUGCAAGGACAGCUUCGGGUUCCAUUUCGCUUUGGCCGAUGCUUGCCGGAAGUACACUUAUUUACCAGAAGUUGCCGUCUCCUCCGCAGGCUCUUCGAUCUUCGACUACGCGCGCGGCUCGACACAAAAUGGGAAGGAAAAAAAAGGAGCCGAAUUUAUGACCUCGGUGUCGUACCGACCCGAGGUAAUAAUCUGCUUAUAUAUAAAGUUGCUUCAUAGGUCGCAUUAGCAUAUACUGUAUUCACUAACAUAACCAAUCAGAUCUUGGAUUUUGAUGAAAGAACAAAUGCAUAAAUGAAUAUAAGUCCUUAGAUGCAGGUCAACUCUUUGAACAUGAAGAAUUGACAUUAGCAAAUCUCAAAUCUGCUUGUGUCACUCACUUUAACAUGCCUCCUGGAAUGUGUGAUGUUCUUGUUUCACACAAGGGGCUGUCGUGCACUAAGGACAAGGUAUUAUUUUAUACACUAUAUACUGUAAAUCAAUAAAUUAUAUAUAAUUAUUUAAUAAAUUGACUACAUGAAUUAACCAGCAUUUAUAGUACAGCAAACAGCAGCCUCGUUUUCGUUUAUGUGAGAUUAGUUACAUCCAAGCCUCUUUUUCUAUUGAGUUUAUUUAAUUUCAAUUUUUUAAAUUAAAGACCAUGUCAAGUCCCUAAUGUAAACAAAUCCUUUGUUUACAUUUUGAACUGCUAUAUUUGUAAAAUAAGACAAUUACUAACUGAAUAUCUAACACUUUUCGGGUUCACAAUUGUAAAUGAAUAUUAAUAAAACUAGAGUACGUUUCAAUUCAAAAAAGUUUGAAAGAUGCAAAAUUCGAGCAACGUUUAUAUCUGUGGGUCCCCAUUUGUUAUGAGCAGAACUGAUUCGCAGAACGGACUUGACAUGGUCUUUAAUUUUUUUUAAAUCUUUUUUUGUGUUUUUAAUUUUUUUUUUGUAUUUUUAAUUUUGUUUUUCAAUUUCUUUUAAAUUUUGUCAAAAGAUUUGAAUGAGAACUCUGGGCCACCAUACUAUUCUGAUAUUGUGUAGACUAGAUAUUAUGCCCAUAACAAAACUGUAGAAUAACAACAGUACAGCAUUACCAUAUAUUACGGUCAUGAUAAGCUGUUGCUUGUAAUAUUUAAAAUAUCAAAAUCAGGAUCACUCUCAUUAGGCUAGUCCAUUUAUAAAUGUCGAGUGGAGUACUGGAUCCAAAUGUACUAAUUUUCAUGCAAAAUUUGCCGGUGUUUCCCAUAGCCUCAGCAAGCCUCCACAGAGGAUUGCAGGCUCAGGGUACGAGAUUGGUGGCACGGCCAAAAAGACCCUGGGUACGAGGAUGAGUAAUUACCAAGAAUUUUCAAUUACUAAAAUCUUCCAAAAAUGAUGGAAAAUUACCAAAAGUAAUUUUUAUAACCAAAUGCUUCACAAUGCUUCCCAGCUUUUUCUGAAAUCUUGUCUGGAUCAUCAGGGCCAGGGGCCAGUUGCAUGUUCAAAGCUGGAUUAACGCUAUAAACCCUCGGUUAAAAUUUAACCUGCUGUUUUAAUUUAUGCGGGCCCAGAAGUUUAAGUUUUGAAAUAAACAGACGUGCAGAAAUACAUAAACCAAAAUAAUGGUCCAAUGGGUUAAAUUUUAACUCAUUAAAAUAAUUUGAUUGUCCAUUCAGAAGAACGGGCCACUACGCCUACGUGUCAGCUAGCCAGUAUUUCUAUAAAAGGGCACCUGCAUGUAAUUUUAUACGGCUAAGAUUUGUAAAUAAAUAUUAUAAUAAAGUAAAUAAAUAAACUACAAUAUUAAAACUUCA